rnacentral:rRNA from 1 species
UACAGAGGGUGCAAGCGUUAAUCGGAAUUACUGGGCGUAAAGCGUGCGUAGACGGUUACAUAAGUCAGAUGUGAAAGCCCCGGGCUCAACCUGAGAAUUGCAUUUGAGACUGUGUAGCUAGGGUGCGGAAGAGGGAAGCGGAAUUUCCGGUGUAGCGGUGAAAUGCGUAGAUAUCGGAAGGAACACCAGUGGCGAAAGCGGCUUCCUGGUCCAGCACCGACGUUCAGGCACGAAAGCGUGGGGAGCAAACAGG